CCUACGGGUGGCUGCAGUGGGGAAUAUUGGACAAUGGGCGAAAGCCUGAUCCAGCAAUGCCGCGUGAGUGAAGAAGGCCUUAGGGUUGUAAAGCUCUUUCGCCUGCGACGAUGAUGACGGUAGCAGGAGAAGAAGCCCCGGCUAAUUCCGUGCCAGCAGCCGCGGUAAUACGGAAGGGGCUAGCGUUGUUCGGAAUUACUGGGCGUAAAGCGCGCGUAGGCGGCUUGGCAAGUGAGGCGUGAAAGUCCUGGGCUCAACCUGGGGACGGCGCUUCAGACUGCUUGGCUUGAGUCCGGAAGAGGGUGGUGGAAUUCCGAGUGUAGAGGUGAAAUUCGUAGAUAUUCGGAGGAACACCGGUGGCGAAGGCGGCCACCUGGUCCGGAACUGACGCUGAAGUGCGAAAGCGUGGGGAGCAAACAGGAUUAGAAACCCUAGUAGUC
rnacentral:rRNA from 1 species